GUCGAGCGCGGGAAGCAGGCAGAUCCUCUUCGGAGGUGACGCCUGUGGAACGAGCGGCGGACGGGUGAGUAACACGUGGGCAACCUGCCUGUAAGAUUGGGAUAACCCCGGGAAACCGGGGCUAAUACCGGAUAAUACUUUUCGUUGCAUAACGAGAAGUUGAAAGGCGGCUUUUAGCUGUCACUUACAGAUGGGCCCGCGGCGCAUUAGCUAGUUGGUAAGGUAACGGCUUACCAAGGCGACGAUGCGUAGCCGACCUGAGAGGGUGAUCGGCCACACUGGGACUGAGACACGGCCCAGACUCCUACGGGAGGCAGCAGUAGGGAAUCUUCCGCAAUGGACGAAAGUCUGACGGAGCAACGCCGCGUGAGUGAUGAAGGUUUUCGGAUCGUAAAACUCUGUUGUCAGGGAAGAACAAGUGCCGUUCAAAUAGGGCGGCACCUUGACGGUACCUGACCAGAAAGCCCCGGCUAACUACGUGCCAGCAGCCGCGGUAAUACGUAGGGGGCAAGCGUUGUCCGGAAUUAUUGGGCGUAAAGCGCGCGCAGGCGGUCCUUUAAGUCUGAUGUGAAAGCCCACGGCUUAACCGUGGAGGGCCAUUGGAAACUGGAGGACUUGAGUACAGAAGAGGAGAGUGGAAUUCCACGUGUAGCGGUGAAAUGCGUAGAGAUGUGGAGGAACACCAGUGGCGAAGGCGACUCUCUGGUCUGUAACUGACGCUGAGGUGCGAAAGCGUGGGGAGCGAACAGGAUUAGAUACCCUGGUAGUCCACGCCGUAAACGAUGAGUGCUAGGUGUUAGGGGGUUUCCGCCCCUUAGUGCUGAAGUUAACGCAUUAAGCACUCCGCCUGGGGAGUACGGCCGCAAGGCUGAAACUCAAAAGAAUUGACGGGGGCCCGCACAAGCGGUGGAGCAUGUGGUUUAAUUCGAAGCAACGCGAAGAACCUUACCAGGUCUUGACAUCCUCUGCCAAUCCUAGAGAUAGGAUGUUCCCUUCG
rnacentral:rRNA from 1 species